rnacentral:lncRNA from 10 species
AUGGGCUCUGUUAAAAUGAAACGCGAUGGAAAUGGAAAACUAACCUGUUCAGUCACUUCAUCAUACCUGUUAAAUGAGGUAAUACGGCAUGGUACCAGCUAUUUUGAUGUUUUGAAUCAGCCUAUUUUCUCUUUAUUUGCUUUGUUUUUAGCUUAUAAUAUCUCAGUGUUACUCCCAUUCUUUUUUUUUUUAUUUUGCUGUUGUAAAAGAAAACGUUUACUUUCUUAUCUUACAGGGAUCAUUGCAAGAGGCAUAGGUUGGGGGUUAAUAGGAUGGAAAUACUAUGCCAGUGUGAUUGGUCCGAUCCAGUGCGAAGGCCCGGCCAACCUGGGAGUCACACAGAUUGCCUGUGCAGAGAAGCGCUUCCUGAUUCUGUCACGCAAUGGCCGCGUGCACACACAGGCCUACAAUAGUGACACACUGGCCCCACAGCUGGUCCAAGGCCUUGCCUCCGGAAACAUUGUAAAAGUUGCUGCCCAUUCUGAUGGUCAUCACUGCGUAGCCUUGGCUGCCACUGGAGAGGUGUACUCCUGGGCUUUGGAGAUAGAGGACGGCUGGGCCAUGGGGACACUGUGUAUGUAUCGCUCAUUCCUGCAGGGGACACCCUCCUCUUUUAUGUUACCAUUUCCUGGACAGGCUGGAGCGCAGGAGUGUGUGCAGGUGUUUUCCAGCCGCCCCGACGUGCAGCGCUGGGGUGGAGCGGGACACUGUGAUAUGCCCCCUCCUUGGUGAUGGCUGAGGAACUCUCUGCCCAUGUGUGGAAGGCAACGGGAAUCGGCCUUUCUGCUCUUCUCCACCCCGUGCAGCCUUGGCCGCCUUCUCUCUACUCAAACCGCAUCCCCACUGUGGAGUUUGCCAGAACAAAUCCCACAGCACUGUUCCUUCCUUCACAAACAGUUCCCCCUGUCUCCCAUAGAUAAGAUUUUCACCCUUUCCUUGAACCAUAAUAGUAUUUUUACAGGAACAAAAGUCAGCAGUUUCUUCGUAAUAUCAUCCUAUUCGGUGGAACCUUUUAUUGUGAAAGAACAGAAAUAAAGUUGUUAUAAAUGCCAGGUUGUAAAAAUUGGGAGGUCUGCCAGCCCCAUGAGUGAUGGGAACCCUCUUGUACUUUGCUGUUGUGCGUGGAACUCUGGCAUUAGGUUUAAAUGAAGGAUGUUAUGUACACACCAACCCAGCAAGCCCAUUUCAUGUGGGCCGGAGCCCUGAGCAGGGAGCGGACAGUGCAGAACUUGAAAUGAGCGUAGUCAUGACUGCCCUUGUGUCCCUUGAGAAGAGCCUGGAAGGCAUGGGCCAUGCACACCACAGGGUGGAGGUGAGGGCAUCAUUGCCAAUGGCAUCUGCUGGGAAGAUCCCAAACUGGGAGAAAAGCAGAGUGAUGCGCAUCGUGUGGUACAUGUAUGCCAAGCUCACAACAGCCCAACCCUGACAGUGUUGUAAGGGAUUCAGACAAAUGUGAAAUGAGUGAAAAACAAAAGAUCGAUCCCCAUGGCAUUUAUAGCUGUUACUCUCACACUGGAUCUAAGGGCUGGGAUUGACAUGGGGUACACGGGACUUGAAAGGCAUUGAGGUACAGGACAGGGUAGUGUGUCUGCUUAUUUCCUUUAGGUAUCUAUUACUGACUUUGUAUAAAAUAUUCCAUAGUAAAACAAUUCUCAGUGCAGAGUAAGUGCUGGGAUGAGUAACUUAUCCCUUAUUCUAGGACUUCAAGGAAGGAAGAGAGAUCAGUGCAGAUGGCAGAAGCUGGAGAUAACCUUUUGGGGAAGUUGAAACUUAAGCUGAAUAAGGGAGAGGUUGUACUGGGGUAGAGUCAUUGGACUGUCGCUGUGUGCGCCUGUGCCACUGUGUGUAUUUUGCAGACCCGUAGGUCACAAAGUGAGUAAACCAUACCUUUGGAGAGGCCUAGCUUCUGUAGAUUUUCAAGAUAAAGUCAUCCAUCUUAGGAACGUAUUCUGGAUCCUAAGAAUAGGAUAUUUUGUUAACUUUGCAAUUUCUUCAACUAGUAAGACUUCUCUACCCUAAUCCUCACUGCCUCAUACUUUUCAUUUGUAAAAUACAGACUGCAGAGUGCUGGCUUCAUUCCAUCCACAUUCAUUUAACAAAUACCUAUAAAUGUCAGUCAGCUUUGAGGCUUAUGUACAACCAGAUGACUGAGUUUCGGGUGUAGAGUUGGAUGGGUUUUGGCCAGUUCCCUCAGCUGGGGAGUCACCACCAUCAAGACAUGGGGCGUGCCCGUCGCUUCCAGGGCCCUGUUUGUACCGUUUGAGUUGAUCCCCACUUCCUCCCUCCAGUUCCUGACAACCUCCGAUCUGCCCUCUGUUGUUACUAUUUUGUCUUUUCCAUAAUUGAAGGUAAACAAAGCCAUACAGUGUGUGGUGUUUUGUUUCUGGCGUCUUUCACGUAGCAUGAUGUCCUGAGAUCCAGCUGCGUUGCUGGGUGUGUGGGUAAUUCCUUCCUUCUGUUGCAGAUGGACCGUGGCUUUGGGCCAUUGUGAAGAAAGCUGCAAUGGACUUUACUGUACAAGUCUCUUUUUUUGAGAUGGAGUUUUGCUCUUGUUGCCCACGUUGGAGUGCAAUGGCGUGAUAUCAGCUCACUGCAACCUCCGCCUCCCGAGUUCAAGCGAUUCUCCUGCCUCAGCCUUCCAGUUCGAUGGCAUUACAGGGGCCCGCACCAUGCUCAGCUAAUUUCGUAUUUUUAGUAGAGACGAGGUUUCACCACAUUAGCCAGGCUGGUCUCAAACUCCUGACCUCAGGUGAUCCGCCCACCGCAGCCUCCCCAAGUGCUGGGAUUACAGGUGUGAGCCACCAUGCCCAGCCUAUUGUACAAGUCUUUCACACUAUUUUUGUAAUUCUACUGGAUACCACGCUUGGCGUCGGGUUCCAACUUAACAAAAAGUCAUGGAGGUAUUAGGUGUUCAAAUUCUCUCUUCCUUAUUUUAUAAGGUACCUGGAAGGGGAAACUGGCCUGAUGCUCUCAUGGUCUCCAUUUGGAUAGUGAAUUUCCUUUGCUAACACUAAUAAGAAAUAACACCAAGAAGAAGGGCAUUCAUGUUUAUUCCCUUCCUCCCCAAGGCCUCUGGAGGAGCCUAAGGUGAUCUCCGCCUUCUCUGGAAAGCAGGCCGGGAAGCACGGGGUGCGUAUCGCUUGCGGGAGCACUUACAGCGCGGCCAUCACUGCCUAGGAGGAGCUGUACGCCGGGGGCCGCGGGAACUACGGCCGGCUGGGCCACGGUGUGUCUGCCCUGCAUGAGUGGGAGCAUGCAGCAGGAGGUGGCCUCUCACAGGACUUAGGAACAGCCGUCCUAUCUGUUUGAAGGCUCCAGUGAGGACGAGGCCCUUCCAGUGCUGGUAGCUGGGCUUAAAGGACUGAAGGUCAUCGAUGUGGCGUGUGGGAGUGGGGACGCUCAAACCCUGGCUGUCACUGAGAACGGAAUGUAGAGUUCUCGCCACCCAGGACAGGGCCUCGAGGACACGCUUGGCAGCUUCCCUGGAGGAAGUGAGAUGAGUACAGUUGGCCUCACGAGGCCGCCCACCCUGUCGUCCAGUGGGUGUGGGAUCAGUGGCAUUGGUGAAGAGGCCACGGUGGUUAUAUAUGUGUAUAUAUAUAUUUAUAUUAUUUUCUUCCCUAUGCUUGCUUUGAGUUUAUUUUGCUGUUGUUUAUCUAAGUAGUUGAGGUGGGAGCUUAUUGAUUUGACAGGGCUUGUUGCCUGGGGCCUGUCAGCAGGUUAGCAGCUGCCGCCAUUCCUGUGUGGGCAUUUUAUUUUUUAGGCAUGGGAGUUGGGAUGGAAUGAUUGACACUCUGAAUUGUCUCUGGUUAGUAUUGUUACAUUUCUUAACGUUCGGCCACUCUUGAUUCCAUGUGGUAAUUCCUGCUAAGUCUUUCCGUGUUCUAUAGUCUGACGCUGCGGUAUCUGCUUGCUUUGAAUUUUGCUUUUGGGUUUGUGUUCCUAACUGAGAUCAUCCUCAUCUUUUUUCGAGGGUACAUGAUGAGGUUUGGUGGUUAAAGUCAUGUUAAUUUUUUAGAAACGACUCGUCUGUCAGUAUUGUGGGGACCUGUCCUUGGCAUCUUGUGUGUCUCUGGCGUUGUGGAGUCUUUCUGUGAAAUCGGCUGGGACCUGUCAGCUUGCUUUCUCUCCUGCAGAAGUUGAAUGGCAGGUUGAUAAUUGAGUGACUUUUGGGCAUUUCUUAGGUCAAAGAUGAAAAAUCAUUUCAGAUACUUCCCUAUAUACAUAGGUCCCGCUGCCGUUGCCGGGACAGACAUUGUCAGAGCCAUCCUGUUUCUGCUACUGUGAGUCCUAGAGCCAAGGUGGUCUCCUCUGAAAGGCUCCUGCUGUCAAGGAGUUUUCAAUUUGACAUCUCGUCAUUUAAAAAUAUCUAUUUUAUCGAUAUCGAGUGAGUGGUAGACCUUAAAAUAUUUCCUGGUUAAAAGUUUUGUGAGGUCGGAGCUGUGUCAGGAGACUAGCCUGGCGUUCUUUAGUGUAGUUGCUACUUUAGGUGAAGUUUGUGACGAUACGUUGAGUAAACUGCCUUGAACAGGCUGCGGACAGCGUCUUCCCACACUGGUGUUUCUUUGGUGCAGAUCUUGUAGGGAAGUGUCCCUGCUGUGCCGUUAGUUUCAGAGGCGACAGUUACGGUAGAAGUAUCCUACCCUGCAGUCUGGCCUUGGGGGACAGUGGGAAAUGGCCAGGCGGGCUACGUGAACAGCAUAAUUUUCAGCACAGCGUGUGACAGUGCACCUCUGAUGUCUGUGUGCGGGUCUGCUGUGCUGCUUUCAUUGACCACGUCAUAGUGUGUCAUCUCCAGUUUCCGGUUCGCUCGGGGUCGGCCUGCUUUUGCAGGUGGAGUUGGAUUGGUGUGCAGGCCCGCCCACUCAUUCACAUAUUGUCUGUGGCUGCUUUCCUGUGACAGUGGCACAGCUGGGUCGUUGGGACAGAAAGCCCAGAGAGGCU